UACGGAGGGUGCAAGCGUUGUCCGGAAUCACUGGGCUUAAAGCGUGUGUAGGCGGACUUCUAAGUACCUUGUGAAAUCCCACGGCUUACCCGUGGAACUGCUGGGUAUACUGGUUGUCUUGAGCCACUUAGGGGCUACCGGAACAAAUGGUGGAGCGGUGAAAUGCGUAGAUAUCAUUUGGAACGCCAAUGGUGAAAACAGGUAGCUGGGAGUGUGCUGACGCUGAGACACGAAAGCCAGGGGAGCGAACGGG
rnacentral:rRNA from 1 species